UUAAUUGAAACCAAAAAAGAGGUAAAUCACUGUUAAUGAUUUUAUUGAGAAUUUUAUCUCCAAUUAAA
rnacentral:tRNA from 1 species